rnacentral:rRNA from 1 species
GAUGAACGCUGGCGGCGUGCCUAAUACAUGCAAGUCGAGCGAACGGGCGAGAAGCUUGCUUCUCUGAUGUUAGCGGCGGACGGGUGAGUAACACGUGGAUAACCUACCUAUAAGACUGGGAUAACUUCGGGAAACCGUAGCUAAUACCGGAUGAUAUUUUGAACCGCAUGGUUCAAAAGUGAAAGACGGUCUUGCUGUCACUUAUAGAUGGAUCCGCGCUGCAUUAGCUAGUUGGUAAGGUAACGGCUUACCAAGGCAACGAUGCAUAGCCGACCUGAGAGGGUGAUCGGCCACACUGGAACUGAGACACGGUCCAGACUCCUACGGGAGGCAGCAGUAGGGAAUCUUCCGCAAUGGGCGAAAGCCCGACGGAGCAACGCCGCGUGAGUGAUGAAGGUCUUCGGAUCGUAAAACUCUGUUAUUAGGGAAGAACAUAUGUGUAAGUAACUGUGCACAUCUUGACGGUACCUAAUCAGAAAGCCACGGCUAACUACGUG